CCAACGGCCCUCUUUAGGGCCACAUUUAUAUGAGUAAAACUGAAG
rfam:Steinernema glaseri strain NC unplaced genomic scaffold GLAS_2378, whole genome shotgun sequence.